rnacentral:rRNA from 1 species
UACGUAGGUGGCAAGCGUUGUCCGGAAUUAUUGGGCGUAAAGCGCGCGCAGGCGGUCCUUUAAGUCUGAUGUGAAAGCCCACGGCUCAACCGUGGAGGGUCAUUGGAAACUGGGGGACUUGAGUACAGAAGAGGAAAGCGGAAUUCCACGUGUAGCGGUGAAAUGCGUAGAGAUGUGGAGGAACACCAGUGGCGAAGGCGGCAUCCUGGACCGGCAUUGACGCUGAGGCGCGAAAGCUAGGGGAGCAAACGGG